CGAGGUUACUUCAUAGGUGAUGGUGAUUUACCUACCAAACCUUUCAUCAAAGUCGAGUCAAAAUGCGGAAAGCUUCCAUCAAGGAAGUUCUAGAGUGAGAACAAGUCUAAUGGAGGACUUUUGACUCCACCUCAUUCCCUUAGAAAAGCAAGGACAGAUUAUGCGACCCAAAGUCCACAUGACAAUCUUCCCAACUUCUACCUAAAUCUCCAAGUACUAGCAAGAAUACGAUAGAAGGUAGCAGCUGCCUUCACUAAACAACUCCGUACAAUAUGCUCUCCCGGUCAAAGA
rnacentral:lncRNA from 1 species